rnacentral:lncRNA from 1 species
UUCUUAAUUUAUGAUCUAAUAAUAUGUAUACGAAGUGAGCCCCGCUUAUUUAUCUAAUUUAUUCUUUCCGUUAAGCUGGGAUCACACAUUCACGAUUUUUACUGCCGUCCUUGACAAGACGAUUCCAGAUUAAAAUUUGUCAAAAGUCUGAUCAAGAUCCUGUGAAUCGUAGAUUGAAAUUCAAACUUUAAUCAAAAUUUGUAAAAAAAAAAUUUAAUCACGACAACAAUCAGAUAUUGUUCAGGAAGCGUCGAUAUUCAACCGUUUCCAAGCGAAUUUGUCCCGAUAAUCCCG